UCUCUGAUAGUAUAUCGGUUAGUACACGCGCCUGUCAUGAUGUAUUCCCUGUACGUAGACGCGCGAAAGCUGGGUUCGACUCCCAGUCAGAGAG